UUCACAUUCUUAAAGCAGUCAGACAGUCACAACAAUUCACAAAGUUGAAGCAAACCAGUCCACUAAAGACUCAACCGACAAGGCGACAACUGGAGAGGCGAAACGACGAGGGUGUCGAGCAACCGGCACUCCGGCUACGACAACGGCGAGGGUCAACGGACGGUGAGGAUUUUAUCAACGUUACUGACUCGUGAGUAAUUAUUCAAACUCGUCUAUCCUUUUCUGCAGGGGCGAAACCAGGAUUUUGAGUGAGUGACAUACAUAUGGCUGAAAAUACUACAACUGAUGAGGCAGUGAUCCUAGCCGAUUAGAGCAUUAAUUCAAAUAUUGCGCGUCAAACAAAUUUUGUCCAGAUGAAGGUAAAGAAAGAAAGAAAAAAAAAGGUCUCGUGCAUGGAAUCAUUUUGGAUCAUUUGUUGAUGAAGAAGGAAAUAAGAAAUCAAAGUGUAAGCAUUGUGGUCAAGAUUAUUUUGCUGAUUCAAGUAAAAAUGGUAUGACGUUAAUGCUUACUCAUUUGUUAACAUGUCCAAAGAUGCCUCGAAAUCAAUCUGCUGACAAAAAUAAAACCGAAAUAGGCUUUCAAUCUGUUGAGGGGGUGUUGCAGGUGAUGUGGCUGUUGUUUCGUGGAAAUUUGAGCAAGAACAAUGUAGGAGAGCUUUAUAUCGCAUGGUGAUUGUGGAUGAACUCCCCUUCAGAUUUGUUGAGAAGGAAGGUUUUAGAAACUUUAUGAAAGUAGCGCAACCUCAUUUUAAGAUUCCUUCUCGUACCACUGUGACACGUGACUGUUUUAAACUAUUUGAUGAAGAGAAACAGAAGUUGAAAAGGUCAUUUAGAGAAGCCCAACAAAGAGUCUGUCUUACCACUGAUACUUGGACCUCUUUGCAGCGAAUUAAUUAUAUGUGCAUCACUGCACAUUGGAUCGACAGUAAAUGGAUUAUGCACAAGAGAAUAAUUAACUUUUGUCCAAUUACUAGCCACAGAGGUGAAGACAUGGCUAAUGAGAUUAGUAAGUGUUUACGUGAUUGGGGCAUAGAUAAAAUUUUUACCAUCACAGUCAAUAAUGCUAGUUCGAACAAUGUGACUGUGAAAGAGUUAGCUAAGACAUUCACUAAAUGGGAAACUAAUUUCAUGAACGGAGAACAACUUCAUGUAAGGUGUAUGUCUCACAUUAUUAAUCUUAUUGUCCAAGAUGGUUUGAAAGUGACUAGCAUGUCCAUUGAAAGGGUUAGAAAAGCAGUGAAAUACAUAAGGCAGUCCCCUGCAAGGUGUAAGAGGUUUCAAGAAUGUUGUGAAGAUGUUGAUAUCAAUAGUAAAAAAUCGUUAUGUUUGGAUGUUUCUACGAGGUGGAACUCCACAUACUUGAUGUUUGAAAGUGCCUAGCAUGUCCAUUGAAAGGGUUAGAAAAACAGUGAAAUACAUAAGGCAGUCCCCUGCAAGGUGUAAGAGGUUUCAAGAAUGUUGUGAAGAUGUUGAUAUCAAUAGUAAAAAAUCGUUAUGUUUGGAUGUUUCUUCGAGGUGGAACUCCACAUACUUGAUGUUGAAUAGGGCGAUUGAGUGUGAAAAUGGGUUUUUGAGUUAUGUUGAUCGUGAUAUUGGGCUUAUCACAUUACCUUCAGUUUGUUGAUGAUGAAGAGAGAACUGCUGCCGGUGCACUUUCGAGUGAUGACUGGGACCAUGUAAUUAUGAUCUAACCAAAGAAGUAUCUGAAUCACUCUAUGUCACAUUAAAUUUACACUUUCUUAAAAUUUGGGAGCUUUCUUGUUAUUUGAAGCAGUUGAUAUCGAGUGACGAUGAUGGUGAUGAUCUUUUGGGUAAAAUUGCAUCGAAUAUGAAAGAAAAGUUUGAUAAGUAUUGGGGGUAGUCCAAAGAAAAUGAAUAAGAUGAUUUUUAUUUCUUGUGUUCUGGAUCCUCGGCACAAGUUUGUUUUGGUUGGUUUCGCUCUUCGGAUGAUGUUUGGGAAAGAAGGACUAGUUUUAGAGAGCAGGGUGAAAGACUACAUGAAUUUGAUGUAUGGUGAGUAUGUAAAGUUUUUUUCAAUUGAUAAAGAUAGUCAACAUUCUUCAUCUUCAUCUAGCUCUUUAUUUGAAAAUUCUAGUUCACUGCCUUCGAGUUCUGGUAGUACUGUUCAAUCGAUAGGGUCUUUAGGGUCAUUUAUGGAUGAUCUUAUGAAACAUAAAGCUGGAAAUACAACAACAGUUAAAACAGAACUGCAAAAGUAUCUUGAUGAAGCAAAUGAAGGUGAAACCAAGAACUUCAACGUCUUGUCUUGGUGGAAAAUACAUUCACCCAGAUUUCCUAUUCUUGUUGAGAUGGCUCGGGAUGUGUUGCUAUUCCCAUUUCAAGCGUGGCAUCCGAGUGUGCGUUUAGUACCGGUGGACGUAUCUUGGAUUCAUUUUGGAGUUCAUUAACUCCUAAAUUGGUGCAAAAUCUAGUGUGCCUUCAAGAUUGUAUUUGGAGUGAAUCACAACCUAUUAGUAUUGAGGAAGAUAUAGAUGUCCUCAAAAAGCUUGAACAAGAAUUGGCUAAUACUAGCAUUCUUGAUGAUUGACGUGGAGUUGAGGUUCUUCUUUUUUGCACUUGAAUCUGGGCAUCUGGUGUCUGAUUUUUGGCAAGAUCUGGAUAUUUUCAAAAGCUUGAAGCGUUUGAAGAUUUUUGGCAAGAUUUGGGUAUUUUCAAAAGCUUGAAGCGUUUGAAGAGUUUUGGCAAGAUCUGGAUAUUUUGAAAAGCUUGAAGAACUAGGAUUUGUUUUUUUCUUUCAACUAACAUUCAAUUCAAGUUUGAAGAUUUUUGUAAACUAAAACUCGUAGGAUUUGGCGAACUAAGAUUUUGUUUUUUUUA